rnacentral:misc_RNA from 1 species
GGACAACAUAGCAUGGAGACCCAACACUGGGACACACAAUAGCAACAAUGAGUCUGACUUUGAUACCGUGUUAAGAAAUAGACCUGGGCCUAACUAAACCCCAAAAGUUAGCUCACAAGGUAGGAUUAUCCAAUAUUAUGUAAGGAGAGAACAACUCGUUUCCUCUGCCAAACAACGUCAUGUCCUUCACUAAGAGACUUAAGAUUUCUAAAAUUCAUA